AUUCGGUGCUUGGGUUGUGGUCUCUAUGACAACCAGCUGUCUGUAAUUAGUAAAUCAAGCCUGGGCGAGGCUUUGGACACUCAGAGUGGCUGCAGAAAGAAGUCAAGAGUGGCUAGCGGCUCACUGUGGGUAAUUGCAUUGCCGUAACUGCAGGGAUGCGUGUGCCACUGGUGGUUCUUCUCAGGUAUUUAAGAUGUGGAUGUUUCCUGUGGUUCAAAAACAAUCAGCUGCUCAGCGCUGUGCUGUUUGCUGUACUGUGUUUGUUGUCUUUUGCAGCACGGUCAUGCUUCACUCCGUGUCGGCUGGAGGUGUGUAUUGUGCUAAAACAGCGAGAGCCCGUGCUGCAGCCCUGGGUUUGGCAUAUCCUGGACUUCAUGGAGCCCCUGAUUUGCAUGGACCAGCUCACAAUGGGCUGCACCCCAGACCUCACCCAUACAAACACGCUGGUCCUGAACCAGCUGGGUUUGGUCCUGACAUGAGCUACUACAAUCAACGCUAUCCAGGAGUGAAGCAGUCGCACAGUGAGCACAAACAAGCUCAGCCCUGGAACUCUGAAUCCCCAUUUCAUCAGAACCGUGACACAUACAGCCCAGUUCAAAGCGAAUAUGCCGCCGGACCCAGAGGGCUGCCGGUUAGUAACCUUGGGUCCGAUUCUGAGCAGGUCCAGCAUGUUGACCCACGAGCAUGGGCCCCAAGCUCCGGCCAGCCUGCGCCUAUGAACGGACAACCUCAAGGUCACACCGAGCCGCUUCCGUUUGUCUACGGUGUCCCAAAUAGACGUGCCCCGGUUCUGACCGCACUCCCCCUGACCCACGGUGUUUACCAGAGGGGUCCGGCUCGCCAUGACUUCGGAGGAGACGAUCCCGUUCUUGGUUCCUAUCCUUUCCCCAUCCAACCCUACGCUGCCGUGGCUGGAACGCCUCCUUUGUUUCCUGGAUGGUGGAGGGUUUGGUUUCCUCCCCAGCCGGUUCCGAUGCUGCACAGGAACCCUGAUGUCGGACCAGUAAACCCUUUCUUUAGACCUGUAAUAAACCGGCACCAGUAAGAAAACGUCCACCAAUUUAGGAGAUGUGACUCAGAGCUCUGCUGCUUUUGUAGAGUGUAAAGUUAACAGCCAGUCAUUGUGAUGGGGAACAGUGUGGUUUCCUUUGACCUCCACUGAAUGUCCAUCUUAUCGGUGUACCAGCGCCUGUGAUGCUGUUUUCUCCCCUGUAGUUAUGAAAACUACGGCUGAAUAAAAAAAAUCUACCAAUGCUUCUAAUUGCUGUC
rnacentral:lncRNA from 1 species